GAUGAACGCUGGCGGCGUGCCUAAUACAUGCAAGUCGAACGAGUUCUGAUUAUUGAAAGGUGCUUGCAUCUUGAUUUAAUUUUGAACGAGUGGCGGACGGGUGAGUAACACGUGGGUAACCUGCCCUUAAGUGGGUGAUAACAUUUGGAAACAGAUGCUAAUACCGCAUAAAUCCAAGAACCGCAUGGUUCUUGGCUGAAAGAUGGCGUAAGCUAUCGCUUUUGGAUGGACCCGCGGCGUAUUAGCUAGUUGGUGAGGUAACGGCUCACCAAGGCAAUGAUACGUAGCCGAACUGAGAGGUUGAUCGGCCACAUUGGGACUGAGACACGGCCCAAACUCCUACGGGAGGCAGCAGUAGGGAAUCUUCCACAAUGGACGCAAGUCUGAUGGAGCAACGCCGCGUGAGUGAAGAAGGCUUUCGGGUCGUAAAACUCUGUUGUUGGAGAAGAAUGGUCGGCAGAGUAACUGUUGUCGGCGUGACGGUAUCCAACCAGAAAGCCACG
rnacentral:rRNA from 1 species